UCCGGUUUGUCACCGGCAGUCUCCCUAGAGUUCCCGGCCGAACCGCUGGCAACUAGGGACAAGGGUUGCGCUCGUUGCGGGACUUAAGCCAACACCUCACGGCACGAGCUGACGACAGCCAUGCAGCACCUGUGCUAGCCCCUUACGGACACGGGCUUUCACCCGCUUUAACUAGCAUGUCAAACCCAGGUAAGGUGGGGAUGACGUAAGCCUAUCGAGA
rnacentral:misc_RNA from 1 species